GACGAACGCUGGCGGCGUGCUUAACACAUGCAAGUCGAACGGAAAGGCCCUGCUUUUGUGGGGUGCUCGAGUGGCGAACGGGUGAGUAACACGUGAGUAACCUGCCCUUGACUUUGGGAUAACUUCAGGAAACUGGGGCUAAUACCGGAUAGGAGCUCCUGCUGCAUGGUGGGGGUUGGAAAGUUUCGGCGGUUGGGGAUGGACUCGCGGCUUAUCAGCUUGUUGGUGGGGUAGUGGCUUACCAAGGCUUUGACGGGUAGCCGGCCUGAGAGGGUGACCGGGCACAUUGGGACUAAGAGACGGCCCAGACUCCUACGGGAGGCAGCAGUGGGGAAUAUUGCACAAUGAGCGGGAGCCUGAUGCAGCAACGCCGCGUGCGGGAUGACGGCCUUCGGGUUGUGAACCGCUUUCGCCUGUGACGAAGCGGGAGUGACGGUAAUGGGUAAAGAAGCACCGGCUAACUACGUG
rnacentral:rRNA from 1 species